AGAGAGUUGCUGAGAAGGAAGCAGAGACACAGAAAAAGAUAGCGAUUAGUGAAGCUGAAAGAAAUGCUCAUGUUAGUAAGAUUCAGAUGGAACAGAAGUUGAUGGAAAAAGAUAGUGCAAGGAAGCAAGAGGAAAUUGCAAAUUCAAUGUACCUAGCUCGUGAAAAGAGCCUGUCAGAUGCAGCUUACUACCGGUGAAUUUUCUAAUCUUAUCUCCUGUAUGGUUAUGUCAGAGAGCACGUAAGGAUGAGGCAUAAAGGUCAAUGACCGGUGAAUUCUCUUUAACUUCUUAUCUCCUGUAUAGUUUAUGUGAGAGAGCGCCUAAGGAUAUUGCCUAAUGGUCAAUUAAUGAAGUGGAUCAAAACCACGAGAGACCACCAAGGUCAAAUCUAAGCGGAAACAAAAAACUCGUUGGGCAAAGUUGCGUAGUAUCUGGCUAGUGGGAGGUACUAGGUAGCGGGUACCAUAGUUGAGGUCACGUACACUGACAUGGAUACUAUCUGUCGGAGAGUAGAUUUUUUCUUCCUAUUGAUUAGUUUACUGACUAACCUUAUCUGGGAUUUUUCAGAACAAUGAAAGAAGCAGAAGCAAACAAGCUGAAGCUUACUCCAGAAUUUCUUGAGCUGCGAUUCAUUGAAGCUAUAGCCAACAACUCCAAGAUCUUCUUCGGCAACAAGGCACGGCUCAUUAUCUUAUAAGAUUUAUCUCCACUAAUCCCCUUUCUUGUGUUUGUAGUACUUUGUGCUUACAAAAUAUGAUUUCAGGUGCCCAACAUGGUUCUUGACCAAAGGCUACUUGGAAACUUUUUGCAAGAUGGUGUACCGCACCAGGAGUCUUAGGGGGGUAUACUGUUUAGGCUCUGUCGUUGAAAGCUUCGAAGUAUAUUUUUUCUGGUACAUCACACGGAUAAUGAUACAAUGUGUUGGUUUAUUUGUAUGUUCUAUUCUGUACUACUCAGCGUCAAGUUUAUACCGCUCUUUUGACAGGGAAACUCUGCUACGUUCUUGAUAUGCUAUUUGCUAAUUUUGCUUGUGUCACUCCACGUA
rnacentral:lncRNA from 1 species